UGCCACAGCCUUGACAUUGUCCAUGGAGA
rnacentral:piRNA from 1 species